GUCAACGUAGCUUAAUGAAAGCACCGGUCUUGUAAACCGAAGAAUGAGGGCUCACCCCCUCCUUUGUCA
rnacentral:tRNA from 2 species